AGUGAGAGUGUUGACAUCUGUCCUAACUCACUUCCCUUAACCACCCUCACAGCCUUCUCCAGUGAGGUCCAGCGGUGAGGACAUCAAGCUGUUUCCUAACAGUGCCUUGUACACACUAGGCAACUAGCGAACAUUCACCGAUGGAUCAUAAAACCGAGAAGGAGCGAAGAACAUCCAACAUGGGGAUUCUGUGCGCAUUUGUAAGCUGUUUCUGCAGUUCCACCCUCGCCCUUCGCUCGUCCACUCAGGUAUUGUCUGAACUGUCAACUUCAAUUCUUGGGGUGGUUUUACAAGAAGGAACUGGAAGCAGACUCUGCUAUCAAUGAACUUUCAUCUUAAGGAGCCAAAAUAGGGGCUGGAGAAAUGACUCAGUGGUUAAGAGCCCUGGCUUGCUCUUCCAGAGAACCUCGGGUUCAAGUUCAAUUCUCAGCAACUAAGGACAGUUUACAACUAUCCACAAUUCUGGUACCCUCUCUUCUGGCUUCUGGGGACACUACAGACAAGUGGUGCAAGGACAUACACAUAACAAACAGCUAAAAUAAUAAAAUAUGCUAUUUCUUUUAAAAGCAGAAGCAAGCACAGAGUGAGGAGUUAUCAUAUAGGGAAACAAAAGGAAGUAUAAGCUCCUGGAGUCCAGAGGGUGGGUAAAAGGUAGAGCGAGAAGCCCCUGGAGUCUCCUUAAGGAGGAGGUCCCUGGGUUUGAUAUUCGUUAAGGUCGCUGUUACAUAGCCAUUCUGCUGUGUAAAAACACACAGGCACUGAAGUCUUGACACCCCAGCAUGCUGGCCCUGGAUCAUGAGACAUGGAUCAUGAGAAUGCUAACUUCAUCAGUGGGUUAGUCCACUCAUGAAGUCAGAGCUGAAUGGGCUGUUAGGAGGUAGAACCUGAUUAGAAGUUACUUACACAAAGUGGGGUUUUAAAGGGUAUAGUUUGUGCCCAGUCUCUUCCUUCCUCCUUCUCCCCCUCCCUCUCUUUUUCUCCACCUCGUCUAUGAUGGCAUGAGCCACUAGCUCCAUCACUUGCCUCACUCAAUAGCAAUGGGCC
ensembl:processed_transcript